CCAGCAGCAACUCAUGAAGCUAAAAACAAAGGAUUCCUUGUCUUAGAUUUUUCACUGAGUCAAAGUUCUAACAACUAUUUCUUACUCCUUACCUGACCCGUUUCUGAAAAUGGACAGAAAAUCAGCAGUGAUAGUGAUCUCAGGAGAGAGGCAAUAUGAUAAAAUAUGCAAGGAAGCAGGUUACCAUCUAUUUACUUUCUUGUUUCUUCCACACAUCUCCAUCUUACAUCCAAGCCAGCCCAGAUCUUUUCCUGCUAUGGUAUAACAAAGGAGGAAUGAUAAAAGUUGAAGAAUAUUGAAGUGUGAAUAAUGGAAGGAAGUAAAUACUGAGAGGAGAAACAUGAAAGAAUUGUAGAUUUAGUGACACAGAAGACAAACUACAUUGACUUGCUUUGAUUAACCCUAUUUUCCUUUAACUUGGUAAAGAUAAAAAUAUAAGCUACAUCUGGAGUAUUUUUGUCAUUCCUGACUGAAAAUACAGACAGCUGUGUUUUAGAUGAUUUAUGAAUAUUUUUAACACAGAUUGUGUAAAGGAUUUCAGUCUCGGUGGAAUAAAGUAUGCUUGACAGCAGAGUUAUAACUAGAA
rnacentral:lncRNA from 1 species